UAUCUUAGUCUUUGCUGUGUUUACUGUCAGGGCCCAGGUCUGAAAGAAUCUCUGAAGGAGGUUAAGGUGCUGCUGCAAACCUUCUUUAGUAGGUGAAAGCAACACUAAGUCAUCUGCAUACAGCAGACCUCUGAUCUCUGUGUCGUUCAGGAUGAGGCCAGGUGCCGUGGAACUCUCUAAUUGGUUUGCUAAUUCAUUGAUAUAUAGAUUGAAAUAGUUUUUUCUAUCUGGUUUUAAACAGUUUUUACUUGUUUAUUUAACCAGCUUUUAACCAUUGUUCUUAACCUGUCCUGUCUAUGUUAUCGUUUUUACUAACCAUUAUUGGAUUGAUCUGCAUGUGAACGGAGGCAACAUGACUCACCUGAAUUUGACAGGCCUCCUUUUUCUGUUGACGCUGUCAUGUCACUUUUUAUGCGGACUUCUUGUGUAUGGACAACCUCUCCAGUAUAGUCGGGAAUUCCUUCUGCUUUUGCACAGCACCAGUGUACGCACCGUGGACUCCAGUUAUCCCCGCAGAGAUCCUCCUGUUGCCGGACCCCUACGCAGUGAACAGGAACGGGGCGCCCCGCAGGAGGCCGACAGCGAGGAAAAGAGGGAGACGCGGCGGUGUGCGCCAGAGGCUCAGGAGACAGGGACAUAGGCGGAUUCCCCUUCCCACAGUCAUCCUCGCUAAUGUCCAGUCACUCCGGAAUAAAGUUGACGAGCUUUAAGAAAACGUCAAGUUCCUGGCGGAGUAUAGCAGUGCCUGUCUUCUUGCCUUCACAGAAACAUGGCUUAAGGAACACGACUUACAGUCCGAUCUGGAGAUCGAUGGCUUCGGAGUUCCCUACCGCUUGGACAGAGACCCUGCAGUGACCGGUCACUUUCCAUUAAACAGAAAAAUCGCAUGCAAGGUAUCGUGAAGGUAUGCAGCAAAAUUGUUGGCACACCCUUAGAUGACCUACAUGACCUGUAUAAGGUCAGAUCCUUGAAGAAGGCGAGAGCCAUCCUGGCUGAUCCCAGUCAUCCCUUGUGGGGUGAAUUUAUGCUGCUGCCAUCCGGGCGCAGAUAUAGUCUGCCGUGAUGCAGAACAAACAGAUUAAAAAGGUCAUUCAUCCCGGCUGUUAUCACCAUUGUUAAUACCCUGUAAAUUCAAUUUUAAAUUAUAUUGUACUGUGGUUGUGUUUAUUGUUGUGGUCUGAUAAAUAUAUUUGUUGUAUAUAUAUUUGCUGGCUGUAAUGCAAAUUGCCCCUCGGGGAUAAUAAAGUUACCUUACCUUACCAUUCA